AGCGAACGCUGGCGGCAGGCCUAACACAUGCAAGUCGAACGAACUCUUCGGAGUUAGUGGCGGACGGGUGAGUAACACGUGGGAACGUGCCUUUAGGUUCGGAAUAACUCAGGGAAACUUGUGCUAAUACCGAAUGUGCCCUUCGGGGGAAAGAUUUAUCGCCUUUAGAGCGGCCCGCGUCUGAUUAGCUAGUUGGUGAGGUAAAGGCUCACCAAGGCGACGAUCAGUAGCUGGUCUGAGAGGAUGAUCAGCCACAUUGGGACUGAGACACGGCCCAAACUCCUACGGGAGGCAGCAGUGGGGAAUCUCGCGCAAUGGGCGAAAGCCUGACGCAGCCAUGCCGCGCGAAUGAUGAAGGUCUUAGGAUUGUAAAAUUCUUUCACCGGGGACGAUAAUGACGGUACCCGGAGAAGAAGCCCCGGCUAACUUCGUGCCAGCCGCCGCAGUAA
rnacentral:rRNA from 1 species